CAAAAACCUAAAAGUUAUUCAUAUAAAAAAUCCACCUCUCCCCUUUCUCUUUCUAUGGUCAUCAAGAAAGAAGAAGAAUAAAAUCAGGCUAACAUAAGUGGCAUCGUUCCCAAUGAUAUUAUACCUCUUAGCGCAGCUGAUACUUAGGUUUUGGCAGAGAUUGUAUUAGCUGAGAGAAAAAACUUUCAUCCCCACAGAUUUGUUCUCAUCUGAUCCCAAACUAACCUCUCUCCUCCACAAAAUGCCUCCUAAAUCUGCCAAUCGAAGGUCCAAUUGAACGACCCAUCCUUAGUCGAUUAUCUUCUCACCUCAAUAUUGGAAUCGUUUGUUUGCCAAAUGUUAGAAAGUCUACUCUUUUCAAUACACUCACCAAUAUGGCUAUUCCUGCUGAGAGUUUCCCCUUUUGCGCUAUUGAGCCUAAUGAGGCAAGGAUUAAUGUUCCAGAUGAGCGUUUCGAGUGGCUUUGUCAAUUGUUCAAGCAGAAAAGUGAGUUGUGUUACACAAUAUUCGGAGCAUGGUGAAGGCCUACAAGUUCUCCAUUAUGAAGUUGGACAAAAGAAUGUACCUCAUUUGGAUUACUUUGAAGAUAAGUAUAAUACUCUAAACAUGGGUAACCAAAUAACAAUAAUGUUGAUGUACCUGUAAGUGACUUCAGUUUUCAUUCACUCAUAGCUGACUCCAAUUUUAUUCUUGGAUAUGAAGUUGAUUUUGAUGAUAUAGUUCAAAUGUUGAAGAAGGGGGCGAGGCGGUGCUCUCACAUGCCAAAGGGAAUUUUAUCUUUGUGCCUUGGUGGAAUGAACUUUUUGAUUGUAGAAAAAAGGACUUUCAAUUAAGCCAAAGAUGAGUGAUGCUAUAUUUUUCUAGAGCAUGAAGCCUAAUUAAUGCAACUUUAGAUACAUCGAGUUUGUACGAUUAGUUAGUUGCAUUGCUUUUUAACUAUCAUAUUCUUAAUAGCAUCAACGAAGA